ACUGAAUAGAUACCCCGGUAGUCCACGCUGUAAACGAUGAUUACUCGAUGUUGGCGAUACACAGUCAGCGUCUGAGCGAAAGCAAUAAGUAAUCCACCUGGGGAGUACGAUCGCAAGAUUGAAACUCAAAGGAAUUGACGGGGGCCCGCACAAGCGGAGGAGCAUGUGGUUUAAUUCGAUGAUACGCGAGGAACCUUACCUGGGCUCGAACGUAAGAUGACUGUAGGUGAAAGCUUACAUCUCUUCGGAGCAUUUUACGAGGUGCCGCAUGGUUGUCGUCAGCUCGUGCCGAGAGGUGUCGGGUUAAGUCCCAUAACGAGCGCAACCCCUACCUUUAGUUGCCAACAGGUCAUGCUGGGGACUCUAAAGGAACUGCCUACGCAAGUAGUGAGGAAGGCGGGGAUGACGUCAAAUCAGCACGGCCCUUACGUCCAGGGCUACACACGUGCUACAAUGGCCGAUACAGAGGGCAGCUACCUGGUGACAGGAUGCAAAUCUCCAAAGUCGGUCUCAGUUCGGAUC
rnacentral:rRNA from 1 species